AUUGAACGCUGGCGGCAGGCCUAACACAUGCAAGUCGAACGAGUGGCGGACGGGUGAGUAAUGUCUGGGAAACUGCCUGAUGGCGGGGGAUAACUACUGGAAACGGUAGCUAAUACCGCAUACCAUCAGAUGUGCCCAGAUGGGAUUGGCUAGUAGGUGGGGUAAUGGCUCACCUAGGCGACGAUCCCUAGCUGGUCUGAGAGGAUGACCAGCCACACUGGAAGGGAGACACGGUCCAGACUCCUACGGGAGGCAGCAGUGGGGAAUAUUGCACAAUGGGCGCAAGCCUGAUGCAGCCAUGCCGCGUGUGUGAAGAAGGCCGUCGGGUUGUAAAGUACUUUCAGCGAGGAGGCGUUACUCGCAGAAGAAGCACCGGCUAACUCCGUGCCAGCAGCCGCGGUAAUAC
rnacentral:rRNA from 1 species